AAUACCUCACUUGAACAGGAUCUGUUCUAUAGGCUCGUGCCUCUGUGUCCGUGGGUUCAAACGAGACAGGAAACCCAAUGGUUGAAUCAUGACCGUGUGAUCAGAGCGUGAUUAACGGCUUGAUGAUUUCAUCGUGGCUGUAGAGGAUCGUUCUCAGCUGAUCUUCCGCUGGCCGGGAUGCUCACACGGUUGUCUGACAGGUG